rnacentral:rRNA from 1 species
UACGUAGGGGCCUAGCGUUGUCCGGAAUUACUGGGCGUAAAGCGCACGUAGGCGGCUUUCUAAGUCGGGGGUGAAAUCCUGGAGCUCAACUCCAGAACUGCCUUCGAUACUGGAAAGCUCGAGUCCGGGAGAGGUGAGUGGAACUGCGAGUGUAGAGGUGAAAUUCGUAGAUAUUCGCAAGAACACCAGUGGCGAAGGCGGCUCACUGGCCCGGUACUGACGCUGAGGUGCGAAAGCGUGGGGAGCAAACAGG